GGGGCUGUAGCUCAGUAGCAGAGCAUCUCCUUUGAAUGCAGGAGGUCCCAGUUUCCAUCCCUGGCAUCUCCA